rnacentral:rRNA from 1 species
AGAGUUUGAUCCUGGCUCAGGAUGAACGCUAGCGGCAGGCUUAACACAUGCAAGUCGAAGGGCAGCGUGGGAAGUGCUUGCACUUCCUGACGGCGACUGGCGCACGGGUGAGUAACACGUAUGCAACCUGCCCCCUGCAGGGGGACAACUUUCCGAAAGGAAGGCUAAUCCCGCGUAUAUUCCGGAGGGGCAUCCCUCCGGGAGGAAAGAUUCAUCGGCAGGGGAUGGGCAUGCGGCGCAUUAGGCAGACGGCGGUGUAACGGACCACCGUACCGACGAUGCGUAGGGGUUCUGAGAGGAAGGUCCCCCACACUGGUACUGAGACACGGACCAGACUCCUACGGGAGGCAGCAGUGAGGAAUAUUGGUCAAUGGGCGGGAGCCUGAACCAGCCAAGCCGCGUGAGGGAAGAAGGCCCUAUGGGUCGUAAACCUCUUUUGUCAGGGAACAAAAGCGAGUAUGUAUACUAGUCUGAGUGUACCUGAAGAAAAAGCAUCGGCUAACUCCGUGCCAGCAGCCGCGGUAAUACGGAGGAUGCGAGCGUUAUCCGGAUUUAUUGGGUUUAAAGGGUGCGUAGGUGGUGAUUUAAGUCAGCGGUGAAAGUUUGUGGCUCAACCAUAAAAUUGCCGUUGAAACUGGGUUACUUGAGUGUGUUUGAGGUAGGCGGAAUGCGUGGUGUAGCGGUGAAAUGCAUAGAUAUCACGCAGAACUCCGAUUGCGAAGGCAGCUUACUAAACCAUAACUGACACUGAAGCACGAAAGCGUGGGGAUCAAACAGGAUUAGAUACCCUGGUAGUCCACGCAGUAAACGAUGAUUACUAGGAGUUUGCGAUACAAUGUAAGCUCUACAGCGAAAGCGUUAAGUAAUCCACCUGGGGAGUACGCCGGCAACGGUGAAACUCAAAGGAAUUGACGGGGGCCC